UACGUAGGGGGCAAGCGUUGUCCGGAAUCAUUGGGCGUAAAGCGCGCGUAGGCGGCCCGAUAAGUCUGCUGUAAAAGUCAACGGCUCAACUGGUGAACGCCGGUGGAUACUGUCGGGCUAGAGUCCGGAAGAGGCAAGUGGAAUUCCUGGUGUAGCGGUGGAAUGCGCAGAUAUCAGGAGGAACACCAAUGGCGAAGGCGGCUUGCUGGGCCGGUACUGACGCUAAGGCGCGAAAGCGUGGGGAGCGAACAGG
rnacentral:rRNA from 1 species